GCUUUAUUUGCUCUCAUACAGUCGUUACUAACUUGGUGGGCUUCAGGCGCAGGACAACUUCCAUAUUCACUACAUAGUUACUGUUAUAAAACUCUACAGACAUUAUUAAAUUAGGCACCUAUCAUAAUAAAUGAGUAUUAAUUAUUGUUCAGUAAGCACCUAAAUAUAAACUUUUAUGAUUUAGUUUAAUCACUAUUUUGUGGUUUAAAAAAAUGGUUCUACUAGAAAAAUUUUCUAAAUGUAUAUGAUGAUAUAAUUGGUAAAUAAAACGUUAUAUGUACAUGAUAAUUAUGAUUAGAUUAAAUUACAGUGUAUAUGUAUUGAACUUUGGGCAUAUAAUAAUGAAAAGUGACGUGAAUGAUUUAAAUUAAGUAUUGAGCAUCUUAAACGAAAGUGUAAAGGGUGGGAAUUAAACGAAUAAUAGUUUUAAUAAAACUAAUAUAGCUGUACUAAAACGAAUACGAAAAUAUUAUGUUGAAUAAAAAAGAAAAAUUGGAAAAAGCGUAUUGUAAUUAUAGUAGUGUUUAUUAUAGGCACCUCAACCCACCUCAUCAUAAUGACAUAAUGGAUAGACCUACUUAUAUCAUUAUAAUAAAUGCUUUAUGUACUAUCAAUCAUAAAUAAUGGUAAAAAUAAUAAUACAUUAUCCAUUAACUAUUUAUACUUUAACAAUAAAAUUGACAAGAUAAGUAAUUAAAAAUACAGGAAAGUAGGAAACUAGAUUGCUGUAUAGUACCUAGUUGUUAACUAUAUAGGCGUCAAGUGUUCCUGUCAUUGAGCGAUUCCAAAUCUCCUGUAAAGUAUCGUUUGAUAUUUCGUGAUUGAAUAAUAUGAUGAGGCUUGAGCAAAGGCAAUUCAAUCCACGAAUCGUUCAAUUGGUUCGUUACAAAAAACUGUUUGGAUCAACUAAGAAUAACUUCUCUUAUUCCAACAUAUGGUUUAAAGUGAAGAAACACAAUGUGACUCAGUUCUCCUAACUGGAACCAAUUAAGAAGCAGCCCAACUAACAUUCACUCCAAAAUGUUAGAACGCUCAAAUCAGACUAAAAUUAAGUAUCAUUAUUUUAAAAAAAUUGUUUCAUAUUUAAAAAAAAAUGUUUAUUUGGUACAAAAUAGCACUUGUGUUAAGGAUAGUGGUGAGUAUUUAGGUUUUUUUCAUAUCCAAAGCAGAUUUACUGUAUAAUCAACAAUAAAUUAUAUAUCUUACUAGCAAAUAAAAAAAAAAAA